rnacentral:misc_RNA from 1 species
UGAAACUGAAAUUCGCUGGGUAAGGGGAGUAGAAAUCUGAUAAGACUGCAUGUUCUAAAGGAGCUCUCCUUGUGUGCUUUGCCUAUCUUGUUUUCUAUAAUGAUAUACAUGAUUUUCAUCUAUUUGUAGAAUAAACAAAAGGACCAUGCAUUCCUUGCAUUCAUUAUAUCAAAGGGAUUCACUAAGCUAAUACAUCAAUGGUUUAUACUUCGGACAAGCCAAAAUGUGGAUUUUCUUCCCAAUCG